rnacentral:rRNA from 1 species
GUGCAAAGGUAGCAUAAUCAUUUGCCUUAUAAUUGAAGGCUAGUAUGAAUGGUUUGACGAGAAUUAAGCUGUCUCUUUUUAACUAAAUAUAACUUUAUUAAGAGGUGAAGAAGCCUGUAUUUUAUUGAAAGACAAGAAGACCCUAUCGAGCUUUAAAGAAUUUAGUAGAUUUACCAUAUAUUAAUAAAAAAGUAAAGCAACUAAAUAUUUUGGUUGGGGCGACUGAGGAACAAACAAAGCUUCCUUUAUGCUAAUUAAAACUUACAAGUAUUGAUCCAAUUUAUUUGAUUAAAGAAAUUAGUUACCGUAGGGAUAACAGCAUAAUCCCCUUUGAGAGUUCUCAUCGAAAAGGGGGUUUGUGACCUCGAUGUUGGACCAGAAUACCCAGAAGAUGCAGCCGUCUUCAAUGGUUGGUCUGUUCGACCAUUA